rnacentral:sRNA from 1 species
ACAAUCACAAAGAUCUGUGUCCAGCGGUCCUGACGCGCCUUCGGGUGCUGUUGGUCGACUGCUGCGACAGUUCGACGACCCAUGGAACCUUCUAUGCAAUGGAGCACAUCCGGUUGACAGAUCUGAGAGCAAUUGCGGCGCACAUCUUGAGCUCUCCGUGAGCUCGAUGUGUCGUCCGGGCGCUAUAUUCCAAAGCGUUCCUGAGCCCGUCGGGCCUUGAAGGUUGGGACAAACCAUAGCUUGCCUACAGCA